ACUUUUAGCGAUUGCGUCCAAAGGAAUCGGCGAUAUGCCACCAAGGCUUCAACGUAUUUUUCUGCGCUUGUUGAAGUAUGAUUAUUCCCUUCACUUUGUUCCAGGAAAAGAGUUGCUGCUGGCCGACAUGUUGUCAAGGGCUCCCAAAAAACCACGGGACAUCGGACCCUCCCAAGACGACGUAGAGGUUUAUGCAGUGGGUGUGGUCACGAACAUGGUACGAGUUCCAGCACAUUACAUCGAGCCCUGGAUUUCCACAGUCGAACGGACUUGCUGUUCAAGUUGUGAAAAAAAUUCUGAAAAAAACUAAAGAGACACAGCAGGACUUCUGGCUGGGACUGCUAUCCCACCGUGCGACGCCGCUGGAAGACGGUCGGUCGCCCGGUGAGCUCCUGCAAGGCAGAA